AACAGAACAAGUCUAAUUCAAAAGUUAAAUAUGAUGUUCAAUGCUAUUGAUGCAUAGAGUUUGAACAUAUUAAAAGAGAUUGUCCAAUAACUAAGAAAAAAAUGGAGGAACACGGUAGAGAAUGUUCUAUGGUACUAGACCUAGGAUGAAUUUCAUUAAAGCGUAACACAGGAAAGUUUCAUUCGUAAGGAGGCAAAGGAAAAAAACAAUUUUUUGUGUGUGUUUCUUUUUAUUUAUUUCUUUUUAUGUAGAGAAUUAUUGGAAUUAAAAAGAAAUUAAAAAAG
rnacentral:misc_RNA from 1 species